AUGAGCUGCAUUAGCUGGAACUGCCGGGGGCUUGGGAACCCCGAGGCAGUUUGAGAGCUUCGCAAUAUUGUGAAGAAAGAGUUACCCCUCCUACUCUUUGUCAUGGAAACUAAAAUAUCAGCGAAAAGAGCAGAGAGCCUGCAACAUUCGCUGGGAUUUGCAGGAUGUUUUGCAGUCAGUAGCACAGGAUUGAGCGGCGGCAUCGGACUAUUUUGGUCCCGGGAUGUGGACGUCGAGCUCAAAAACUUCAGCUCCGCCCACAUUGACGUGUUGGUGCGGAGGACAGAUCAAGUUUCGCCAAUAUGGCGAUUUACAGUAGCUAGCCGAUGGAUGAGUUGGUGCACAAAGGGAAGCGUAUAUGGCUGCCGUUUCUCCAGAGAGACCGGCAUGCAUUCACCCUGA
rnacentral:rRNA from 1 species